rnacentral:rRNA from 1 species
UGUCCCAUAAAUCGAGACUAGUAUGAAUGGCUAAACGAGGUCUUAACUGUCUCUUGCAGGCAAUCGGUGAAAUUGAUCUCCCUGUGCAAAAGCAGGGAUAAACCCAUAAGACGAGAAGACCCUGUGGAACUUUAAAACCAGCAGCCACCCGAAGUAGAAUAAACACCCACUGGGCUCACCUUCACAUAAGCCACUGGCCUGCGUUUUUCGGUUGGGGCGACCUUGGAGAAAAACAAAUCCUCCAAAAACUAGACCACACCUCUAGACCAAGAGCAACCUCUCGACGUGCUAAUAGCUCCCAGACCCAAUAUAAUUGAUCAAUGGACCAAGCUACCCCAGGGAUAACAGCGCAAUCUCCUUCGAGAGUCCCUAUCGACAAGGAGGUUUACGACCUCGAUGUUGGAUCAGGACAUCCUAGUGGUGCAGCCGCUACUAAGGGUUCGUUUGUUCAACGAUUAACAGU